GGGGCGAUGCAUAUAAGGCGCAGGAUUUCCGCUUUCGCUCCUUUCCGGCGGUGACGACCUCCCCACGAGAACAUGCCUCUCGCUAAGGAUCUCCUUCAUCCCUCUCCAGAAGAGGAGAAGA